AAGGCGAAAAUAUGUUGGGAAUAACCAAGGUGCUGAGCAGAACCCACGGCGGAGCUUCCGUGCUCCGCCUCGGGCAGCGGCGGAUGGUCGGCAAAGCGGCGAACCGCGCCGCGGUGCAUGGCUCUAAGCUCCCGGUGCCUAAUGUAAUUCCGGACAAGGAAUUGGAUAUGGAGAUCCACAAAUCUAUAGAAGAAAAGACAAGAAAGAGAAGGGAGAUAGAAAAUACAGUUGAUUCCCAUCUCAAAAACUGGCCACUACUCUACUUUGAACACGUAGUGUGCUCUAAGUAAAGAGCAUGUGACAUUUGUUACAUUUCUUGUCUGCAAAUAAUCUUCAUCACUUGUAUAAAUAUAAUCCCAUCAAUGUAAUGAUAUUUUGACACUUGAAACAUGAAGAUGGAAUGAAUCAGAUUCAUGGCU